rnacentral:misc_RNA from 1 species
GAUGAAGAACGUAGCGAAAUGCGAUAAUUAAUGUGAAUUGCAGAAUUCAGUGAAUCAUCGAGUCUUUGAACGCACAUUGCACCCCCUGGUAUUCCGGGGGGUAUGCCUGUCCGAGCGUCAUUGCUGCCCUCAAGCACGGCUUGUGUGUUGGGUCGUCGUCCCCCCGGGGACGGGCCCGAAAGGCAGCGGCGGCACCGCGUCCGGUCCUCGAGCGUAUGGGGCUUUGUCACCCGCUCUUGUAGGCCCGGCCGGCGCUGGCCGACGCUGAAAAGCAACCAACUAUUUCUCCAGGUUGACCUCGGAUCAGGUAGGGAUACCCGCUGAACUUAAGCAUAUCAAUAAGCGGAGGA